rnacentral:rRNA from 1 species
CACUGCUAUUGGGAUUCGACUAAGCCAUGCGAGUCGAGAGGGUUCGGCCCUCGGCGUACGGCUCAGUAACACGUGGAUAAUCUGCCCUUAGGUGGAGGAUAAUCUCGGGAAACUGAGAAUAAUACUCCAUAGAUCUAGGAUGUUGGAAUACACUUAGAUUGAAAGAUUUAUCGCCUAAGGAUGAAUCUGCGGACUAUCAGGUAGUAGUCAGGGUAAAGACCUGACUAGCCUACGACGGAUACGGGUUGUGAGAGCAAUCACCCGGAGAUGAUAUCUGAGACACGAUAUCAGGCCCUACGGGGCGCAGCAGGCGCGAAAACUUCGCAAUGUGCGAAAGCACGACGAGGGGAUCCCAAGUGCUAGCUCGUAAGAGUUAGCUGUUUUUAUGUCUAAAAAACAGAGAGAGUAAGGGCUGGGUAAGACGGGUGCCAGCCGCCGCGGUAAUACCUGCAGCUCAAGUGGUGGCCGCUAUUAUUGGGCCUAAAACGUCCGUAGCCGGUUUGUU